UACGUAGGGACCAAGCGUUGUUCGGAGUUACUGGGCGUAAAGGGUGUGUAGGCGGUUGUUUAAGUUUGGUGUGAAAUCUCCCGGCUCAACUGGGAGGGUGCGCCGAAUACUGAAUGACUUCGAGUGCGGGAGAGGAAAGUGGAAUUCCUGGUGUAGCGGUGAAAUGCGUAGAUAUCAGGAGGAACACCGGUGGUGUAGACGGCUUUCUGGACCGUAACUGACGCUGAGACACGAAAGCGUGGGUAGCAAACAGG
rnacentral:rRNA from 1 species